GAGGGUAUAGCUCAAUUGGUAGAGCGUGUGAUUAGCAUGCAUGAGGUCCUGGGUUCAAUCCCCAGCACCUCCU
rnacentral:tRNA from 1 species